GACGAACGCUGGCGGCGUGCUUAACACAUGCAAGUCGAACGAAGAGCGACGGAAGCUUGCUUCUAUCAAUCUUAGUGGCGAACGGGUGAGUAACGCGUAAUCAACCUGCCCUUCAGAGGGGGACAACAGUUGGAAACGACUGCUAAUACCGCAUACGAUCUAAUCUCGGCAUCGAGGAUGGAUGAAAGGUGGCCUCUACAUGUAAGCUAUCACUGAAGGAGGGGAUUGCGUCUGAUUAGCUAGUUGGAGGGGUAACGGCCCACCAAGGCGAUGAUCAGUAGCCGGUCUGAGAGGAUGAACGGCCACAUUGGGACUGAGACACGGCCCAGACUCCUACGGGAGGCAGCAGUGGGGAAUCUUCCGCAAUAGACGAAAGUCUGACGGAGCAACGCCGCGUGAGUGAUGACGGCCUUCGGGUUGUAAAGCUCUGUUAAUCGGGACGAAAGGCCUUCUUGCGAAUAGUGAGGAGGAUUGACGGUACCGGAAUAGAAAGCCACGGCUAACUACGUG
rnacentral:rRNA from 1 species